GAUCUCUGAGAGACAGGAAGCAUGCAAGGCCUCCAGAGGCCUUGGCUGGGAACCAGAACACCUCUUUUGUGACUUCCUGUCGACCAAAGGGCCAGAGGGAGGUACCCUGCCCUUCUAGUGACAGGACGGGCUGCAGUACCAUCACUGAGGACAUGCACCCAGGGAGGGGACAAAACCGGGGCUUCUUUUGCCAACAGUCACCCACGGGGAAAGAAAACAAGGAUUUCAGAAGGUAGCAGAAGGGGACCUCUCUUUCUCGGUAGGCUCUCUUUUCCUUUCCCCUGUGCACGGGGCGCGAAUGGACCAUUUCCUCCGGCGGUACUCCGGGUGUUCUGAGUCGUUCCGACUUUGCUGUGCUUCUUUCCGUGUUUUCCACACGUGGAGGAGCCUUUGGUCAGCCCAGCACGGAUCCCCUGAGCCAAGGGACCCACCAGAGUGGGAUUCAGGUCCCGCUGGAGCAGAGAUUCACUCUCCCCUCUCAGGCACGGAGGCAGCAGAGGGUCAGGCUGGGUCUCUCAAGUGAAGGGAGAGCUGCACACCCCCGCCCGUUUCCUGGCCUUGAUCUUUCCAGAAAGCAGCCGGGAAAGGUAGGGGGGAGAUCUGAGUCACGGAAAUGCCUGUUCAGGCGGAACCUUCUGAAUUUCUUUAAGUUACAUAAACGGAACUCGGGCCGGCAGGUCCGACUGCUUUUUUUUUUUUUAGAAAAGGUGUCAACAGUUUCUUUGCCUUGGAAAUGCCUACGCUCCAGAGUCCUUAGUAAACAGUCAGGAGGGGAUGGUGGCAUAUUCGCACCGCGGCCCCCAGCCCUCCAGGGAAGGGGCGGAGGACGCUCUGCUGUUACUGAAAGCAGAGCCUCUCGCCGACAGCGCGUGGCCUCCCUCAGGUCCCAGCGGGAAAGGCGGCCCCGGCCCCGAAGGUAACUCCGCGGGGAGGGCGGAGCCCCCUGGGGGAGGCCUGCCCACCGCGCCAGCCCCGGGUCCCCGCGGGGAGACGUCGGCCUCAGGCCCGGAAGGUACCGUUCCCGCACGGCCCGGGGGAUUCUUGGACAACUGGGCCGGGAAGGGUGCGGCCUCAGAUGCAGAGCCGCUGUCAGCCAGAGCGAGCGGCGGACUGGAGCGCAGCGCGGGACCAGGGCUCGCCGGCCGCUGGGCGGACCGGCUGCGCUCUCCGCGGUCGGUUCCCGGAGGUGAUUCCUCUGCCGCAGGCGCGCUCAUCUGUCAGCGCCCGUGCAGCAGGGCCCGGGGCCUGGCACCGCUGGAGGAUUCCUGCCGAGAUUCCGCGCGUUCCGAGGCGCGUCCGCCUGCCGAGCAGCGCCGCAAGGACGGCCCCGCGUGGGGGCCCGCCCGGCGUCACUUCUGCGGCCGGCCGUCAGGUGGCAGUGGCCGCUCGGGAAGCAGGCGGCGCGAGGCGCUUCCUCUCCGCGCACCUGCGCGCAGGUGCGUCCCCGCCGCCCGCGCCGGCGCACCUGGGCGCCUCGGGACCGCGGGGGCCGCCCCCCGCAGGAUGUCUCCCCGUUCAGCAACCCUCGCUCCGGGUCUGGAUUUCUCCUCUUAAACAGGUCAAGCCCGUCUCGAGUUCACGGAGGAAACAGGUAUGAGCGCAUGGUGUUCCAUAGAGCAGAAAUGCCUAGUGUGGACUCCCUAAUGAACCGGAAGAGCAGAGGCGUGCUGUGCUCUCAAGGAAUGUCCUGGUCGGCUACCGAGAGCCCCGCCCUUCGCAAGAAGGCAUGUGCACAGGCAGCGACGUGAGGAAGGACGGACAGAAAGUGUGCUGCCGCUUGGCCUGUAUUGACUCAUUGAAACCUCACGAUAGCCUUCUGAUUCUCUGAGCUACUUGGCUUGUCCCCAUUACACAGACAAGGAAACUGAGGCCCAGAGAAGUCGUGAGUUGCUGGAGCCCACAUCUUACUAAGUGGCCAAGGGAGAUGCAGAAUGGAAGGCGGGAGGGGUGGGGCUGGGGAGGGGCGGAGACAGUGAGCGAGGGGCGAAAAGGCAGGAGAAGGAUGCCCGCCAGGGGCAGCGUGGGAUCCCGUCCACAGCCCCCAGCUGUAGGCGGCCCGCAUGGCAUCGCACCUCUCCCCAGAGGCCUGGGCAGGGAGAUGCCACGCCCUCUGGGAGCCGGGCCCAGGGCCCCUUGCAGACAGUUUUGGACCACACUCUGCCAUCAGCCCAGACUGUGACAUGUUCUCAGAGCCCUUGCACAAACCAUAAUUUGUAACGCUACACUUGUGUGGUUUUCUGAUUGUCUGGCACACCCCCUCCCCCAGAGCGGACGGGCGGGGAGCAGGCCAUGUGGUCACCACUGUGUCAUCAGUGCUGGGUGUGUGCUGGCACGUGGCUGACACUCACGGAAAGUAGGAGUGAAAGCAGAGAACAGAAGGUCCACCCUGGCGAGGGUGCAGGAUGGGGGCUCCGGGGGUGCGGUUUGCACUAUCACCUCUUGUCUCGGCCCCUCCUGUCUCAGGCUCUGGCUCUCUCCUUGAACACGUCUGUGUCCUUUAGCACACGGGAGCUGGAGGGAUGCUCGCGGGUUGUAGACAGCGCUCAGAGAACAAGAGUGAACGAGCUGAUGAUGGCUCUGAGGCCACAUCCUUAGCUGCUUUCCAGCCGUGAAAUAAUCGAAGUGCAGCCACCCCGUUUCCCUGGAAGGGCUGUCCCAGGAGCGUGAGUGGGAGGUGACAAAGCUGGCUGUGUCCUGGGGGGUCACUCAUCGCUCUUUCCCUUUUCCUCCCAGGGACUGGUAAUGGCCUCAUAAAACUGGAGCCUGCACGUUGGCCUCUGAUCUGGUUCCUAUUCAUUUGCAGGAAUGAUUUCACCUAAAAGAAUUCACUUUAUUCCUCACCUGUAGAGGUGUCGUCUGCUGGUUAAAGAUGCAGAAUAAUAGUUUUUGGCGAUAUGGCUGCUUUCUGCAAGUUCCAGUAUCUAAUUUGGAAGAACAGUAAUUGUCGAUUGUUAGAAUCCUGCUGGUUUUAUUUCUUUAUUUUCUUAUCUUGCAGCAUGAUUUGUGCUUCCUGCCUUUAAACUGUGAUGAGCGAGAAUCCUCUGAGAGGAGGGGUCUGUGUGCUCCUCCCUGCUUUUGCCAUUCUCCUUUUUUAACAGCUGUAAGAAUUAGCGUCGACAUAAAUUCAGCCAACAGGAAUGUGUACAUACUACUGCUUUGUGGAUCUGACAAAUGGUAGUAGUGGGCAGCAAACCUGUAGAAUAGAAAACCUAUGAAACAGGCCUCAAAGCACCAUUCUUUCGUCAAGUUGUAAUGAAGGAUAUCUACAGACUCGGGGAAGAAAACUCAACCAACCAGGGAGUGUGGGUGAAUUUCGUAGGUCUGGCAAACAAGCUGUUUAUAACACACAUGAGACUGAAAUUCUAAGUUGCAAAGCUAUCAAGGCUGGGCUUGGAGGAGGAUCUUGAGUUUUCUCCAUUUACAAAGCCUGUGAAUUUGGUACUGUACUGUAUUUAUCCCAGUCUCAGAGGAACAGGAGACACGGAGCCUGAAUCUUAUGAAAUCCAGAAAGGGGAGGACUUGGGAAUCCGACUAGUGGCAUUUGGGGCUUGUCCUGCAGGAGUGGGGCGGGGUUACAAGUUUCUGUCCGUCCGACUGAGAAGCUCUGGGCCAACCCCACCCAGCCCACAUGCAGGUCUCCGGGUGGCUGAGAAAGGUCAGCCCUGAACACUCUGCAGCACGCACAGGCGCCACCUGGGGCCAAUGUCCUUACUUGCCUCCCACGUUCACCUGUGCCCAUGCUGGGCUUUCCCGUUUUUCCCAAUCCUUCUGCAGAUGGGUCAACAGAUGUUAUUUUCUUGACUCCACCCUUGGACUUUGGAGGGAUUUCCACACGUCCUAGCUUUCUCCUCCUCUUUCUUCCCCUAGGGGGGACACCUCAACCUAACUUUGACUCCCAAGGACCCACCAACCAGUUCCCUUAUGGGCCCCAAGCCAACCUGUAAACCAGGGGUGAAAUGAGCUACCAUUUUGGAGCAGUGAGAAGGAGUGCCCGGGAGGGGAGAGAAAGGAGGGUGGAAGGCAAGCGUCUGUAGGUUCGAAGGGGCCACUAUUCUCACCAGACACGGCUGACGUGAGCCCCUCUGAUCGGGCUCCAUUUCACCACCAGUGCCGCUAACUGCUCAGAUCUGUUUGCAAAUCUGCGUGAUGAUUCGAGACUGGAUAUGAGUAAUGAGAAAGGCUUUCCAUCGUGUUCUCUAAAUACUAACACUACAAAAGAGUGAGGGAUCAAAUUUAUAGAGACAGCAGGACAGGAAUUUUGAAUAAGUAUAAUUGAUGGCUUCAGAGAGAUGCACAAGGAUAUUGCCUUUGUAAAAAAAAAAGAUAUUAAAAACUUGAUUGCUAAAUUAGGAAAAACAAAAGCUCAGUGGAUGGGCUGAAAAAUGGAAUAUUCACAUUCUAGGAAACGUAAGUGAGGGAUUAUCAUAAAAGUACAAAGAGAUAGAAAGCGUGAAACAAAAGUCAAGCGACACGAAGGACAGAGUAAGAAAUUGUAAAAGCCAUCAAGUAGCAGUUCUGGAAAGAAAGAAUAGACAGAUUGGAAGGGAAGAGAUUUUCCGAGAAGUGAUAGAGGAAAUUCCCCCCCAAACUGAAGAAAUGCAGGGAUGCUGAGACUGAUGGGCCCCUCAAGAGAUCAGCAUGACGGUAGAGCAGUAUCUUCAAAGUUCUGGGUGAAAAUCACUUGGAACCUAUAACUUUAUAUGAAGCCUAACUAUUCAGUAUUACAAGGCUAUCAUGCAUUGUGAAGGCAAAAUAAAGAUAUUUCCAGGCAUGAAAGAAGCCAACCAUUUAAGGCCCACAGACACUCUCUAAAAACAAACAAAUGCUGGAUGGUGAGCUCUAGCAAGAAUAAAAACGAUAGGGUACAAUGGUGAUCAAAUAAAACAAUAAAAGCUAUUUUUUUAAGAGUAAAUGAGUGUUGUCUGUUUAAAAUAAGACACUUUAAAUAACAACGUGAUACACCACCUGGAAAAGUGACAGCGUCCUCAAAUGCUAAACAGCCGUGCCCUGUCCUGGAUGUGUAUCCAAAAGGAAUGCAUAGAUACCUGUUCCAAAAGGCAGAUGCUAGAAUGUUCACGGCGGCGUUGUUCGCAACACCCACACAUUGGGACCAACACAGAUUUCACCAUCGUAGAAGAAACCACCUGUGACACACCUGUAGAAGGGACGAGGAAAGCACCACUGCCACGUGCUCUUGUGUGGAGGAGUCUCAGAGGCGUGAGGCGGAGCAGAAGAAGCCAUACACAAAGGAACAGACACUGUGAUUCAAACAUACAGGUUGAGAGACUUCACACACUGAGCGGCGGUGACGGAAGUGGUGCUGUGGUUUACCUGUGGCGGCAAUGAUGGGAGGCUCAACAAAGGCUUAUCGAGAACUGGCGAUGUUCUGUGCCCCUCUGGGUCCUGUUUGCAGGGAUGUGUUCACCUUGAAAAAUUCAUCAAGUUGUACGCUUAAGAUGUGGGCAUGUAAAGUAUGUCUUUAUACUUUAAUUUAAAAAAUGAUCAUGGAAUAAAAAUUCUAGGAAACUGGUAAAUGGAGCAGAGGGAAGUAGCACGUGUUGUCUGACUUGGGGUGAUUUAACUACAGAUAGUGUUUUAUAAUAUAACCUUAAUUAAGUAUUUUUAAAGGGUGAAAAAAAUUUUAAGAAAAUUUAGUCGGUAUAACAAAAUGUAAGAAAGGGGAGAAAGAAACAAAAAGUAUAACACACAAAAAUAAAAAAAAGAUGGAACAAACAAUUCUAAUAAUAUCAGUCAUCACAAUAGAUGUGGGUUAAAUUCAUUAAUUAAAAGAAAAAAACUCUGGCUGGAUAAAAGUACAAAUUAUGUGAAACAUAUCUAAAAGAAAUAAUCCAGGAAAAAUGAAAGGAAAGAAAAUGCUAAUAAAACAAAAAGAUGGUCAUAUUAAAUUCAGAUGAAACAGAAUUCAAGGUCAAAACAUUUAAUAAUAAAAGAAAGGGGGGUUUCCCUGGUGGUGCAGUGGUUGGGAGUCCGCCUGCCGAUGUAGGGGACACGGGUUCAUGCCCCGGUCCGGGAAGAUCCCACAUGCCGCGGAGCGGCUGGGCCCGUGAGCCAUGGCUGCUGAGCCUGCGCGUCCGGAGCCUGUGCUCCGCAACAGGAGAGGCCACAACAGUGAGAGGCUCGUGUACCGCAAAAAAAAAAGAAAGAAAAAAAGAAAGGGGUAUGUCAUGCUGAAGAAAGGGAACAAUCCACAGGGUAACUAAUGAUCAUUUUACUGCACUUAAAGCACAACUUGAAAAUACUUAGAGCAGAAACCUGUCAGAAUUACAAAUAGAAAGAAACUAGAUCCUCAAUGUCUUGGCGGGCAAUUUUGACAAAACUCAUAGAAAUGAAUAAGUAAAAAGAGGAUUUGAAUAAAAUAAGUAAUGAGCUGAAUCUAAUUACCAUUCUGCUCAACUGGCAGAGAUUAUAUAUUCUUUUAACCACAAAUGGAAUAUUCUGGAAAACUGACCUAUGCAAGGCCGUUAAGGAAAUCUUAAUAAACUUCAAAGAGCUGCUAUUACUUAGGUUGAUUGAAAUAGGAUAAAACUAGAAGUUAACAAAAACAUUUUAAUAGCUCUUGAAUUAAAGGGAAAAUUAAAGUAUAUAAUGUAUGAACUAUUUAAUGUCUGAACAAUCACAGAUGCACCAUAUUACAGAAUCUGCUUUUCUGCCACAGCAAUACUCAAAGGAAAAAGUAUGACUUACAUGCAUUUAUUAGAAAACAAAAAAAGAUUGAAAAUAAAUGAACUAAACUUUCAAAUAAAGAAACUAUUUAAAAACCAUUUAAACAAUCCAAAAAAUAGAAUGAUGGGAUUAAAGCUAAAGUAGAAAUUAAUAAAAUACAAACAAAAGCAAUGCAGCUGGUCCAUGAAAUAGAUGUUUCAACAGAUGAAGAGACAAAGGAGGAGAGCUCAGGAAAAUAAAGCUAUAUGCCGGUCUUCUUCAUAAACACGGGCGCAAAACACUCAGAUAAAAUGCCGUAUAGAACGGAAACCUGAGUGCCAUACAGACGAUGGGGUGCUGCCCAUAAGCUCACUCUGCCUAAGAAUCAUUCUAUCCUUACUGCAGCCUCAGCGUAUAUUCCCGGCUCUGCUUUCCUCUCUCCCUCCUCUCUCCCACCGCCCCCAUCUCUCUCUAUAAUUGUGUAUACAUCUAUCUAUUUUUCAUCUAUAUGUCCAGCUAUAUGUCUAUUUGUGAGUCUCUUGGCCUCUGUUCUCGAAUUUGUCUUUUUUCUUUAGUUUCACAUUUUUAGUUUCUUUGUGUCUAGAUGUUUGUGUGAAAGUGUCUUUUUUCCACUUUCGUUUUUAACCUUUUUUUGUUUCUCUCCCUUCAUUAAAAAAAAUCUCAAA